rnacentral:misc_RNA from 1 species
CCAGGGUGGAUUUCGAUCGUAUGAGCUCUCACAUCGCCGAUAUUAUCAGUUUCCGCCACGAAUCGGAAGCAAUCUGGAUUUUCCUCGACCGAUACAUCAGCAUCCGAUCGGAAAGGAAGCUCCAAGACCCGGCUGAAGAUGUGGGGCAGCCUCCUUAGCUUCUUGUGGGACCCACCGGAAGAUGGGUCCCUCUGAUGGCUGAUGUUAUUGCCGUUGGUAUUGUUGAUGUAGUAUUGGAUUGUUAUGUUGUUUCUCUUCUUGGGCAUUGGAUGCACCUUCAUGGUUUCUUGGUUUUGAUCGCAGCGUUGGUAGUUUGUGAGAGAACAAGAAAUGGAGCGAG